AGUAUGAGGAUUGUGCUUCAUGCUAUAGUUGGGUCUCUGGUCAUGCAGAUCCUGGCCACUACCACCCCACUUUCUACUGACUUGAGUGCUUAAGCAGAUACCUCAGAGAAAAAGAAUCACGAACUUUCUUGAAACAUUUGACCUCUCUGGAGCUCAAGUAGUCUUUGCCUAUACAACUGGGCAAACUUCUUUAUUUCUAAGAACAAAGGCUCAUUAAAAGAAAAAAGUCUUUAAAGUCUCCUUGGACAUCAAAUAAUUCUACAGAGGAAAUGCUUUGAUGAGUUUGGAACCCCUGAUGACAGAAGCCCUACGGGAACAGAUCUGGGCCCUGGAGAUGAGAACUGUGCAGGAUGAGGAAGAGGGAAAGGCAUCUGACUGAACAGACAGUGACUCCCAAUGCACAAGGAACAGACGGUCAUCCUUACAACGAACCAGAAGCUGCACAACAGGCUGAACAUUUGGGAGUGACUUUCCUUGGGUCAAGGGCCACUGCUGUCUAGCUUGUGAAAUAAGCCAGAGCAGACUCACAACGAUCCAGGACAACUUUGAGGCUGUUUUUCCUGCUUGCAGUAGCAGUGUGAUCCCUGAACAGAAUUUCCACCAAGAGAGGCUCCCUUCUGUUCACUCUGUGAAGGCUGGGAAAUUCACCAUUUACCUCCAAACAUUCUAGACUAAAUUUCAAAAGGCUCAUGGAACACUAUGGCAAAGUUUAGAGCUGUGGCCUGCCAUAGCCUCUUGGGGUGGACCAGUGGACAUGUGUGGCUGGCUGAGAAAGCAAGUCUGUGGGUGGCUCUUAACUCAAGUGUUCACCCAGAGCAAUAACGUGACUUUGGACUUAGAAUGCCGGUUCCUUCUUCUGGAAGAAUGGCUUUCGUGGUUGCUUGAAUGCUUCGGUGGGCUGUCUUCAGAACCUGCCCAAAGAAAGCCAACACAUUAUCACCAGGGGCCUCUGGGCUUUGUGGCUGACUCCUGGGAUCUGCCAUGCUUCUCAGCUAAAAUCCAAUUCUUACUUGAUGUCCCUCUAGUGGCCCCAUUAAUAAAUUAAGGCCAGGGGAAUCUGA